GACAGCAGCAGCCGCGGGAAUACGUAGGGUGCAAGCGUUAAUCGGAAUUACUGGGCGUAAAGCGUGCGCAGGCGGUUUUGUAAGACAGAGGUGAAAUCCCCGGGCUCAACCUGGGAACUGCCUUUGUGACUGCAAGGCUAGAGUACGGCAGAGGGGGAUGGAAUUCCGCGUGUAGCAGUGAAAUGCGUAGAUAUGCGGAGGAACACCGAUGGCGAAGGCAAUCCCCUGGGCCUGUACUGACGCUCAUGCACGAAAGCGUGGGGAGCAAACAGGAUUAGAUACCCCGGUAGUCCCUGUCUCUUAUAC
rnacentral:rRNA from 1 species